AGAGUUUGAUCAUGGCUCAGAUUGAACGCUGGCGGCAGGCCUAACACAUGCAAGCUCGAGCGCCGUAGCGAUACGGAGCGGCAGACGGGAGAGUAACACGUGGGAACGUCCCCUUCAGUUCGGAACAACCCAGGGAAACUUGGGCUAAUACCGAAUACGUCCGUAAGGAGAAAGAUUUAUCGCUGAAGGAUCGGCCCGCG
rnacentral:rRNA from 1 species